GUGUCAGCCGCCGCGGUAAUACGGAGGAUCCGAGCGUUAUCCGGAUUUAUUGGGUUUAAAGGGUGCGUAGGUGGUUUGAUAAGUCAGCGGUGAAAGUUUGCAGCUUAACUGUAAAAAUGCCGUUGAAACUGUCGGACUUGAGUGUAAAUGAGGUAGGCGGAAUGCGUGGUGUAGCGGUGAAAUGCAUAGAUAUCACGCAGAACUCCGAUUGCGAAGGCAGCUUACUAAGCUACAACUGACACUGAAGCACGAAAGCGUGGGGAUCAAACAGGAUUAGAUACCCUGGUAGUCCACACAGUAAACGAUGAAUACUCGCUGUUUGCGAUAUACAGUAAGCGGCCAAGCGAAAGCAUUAAGUAUUCCACCUGGGGAGUACGCCGGCAACGGUGAAACUCAAAGGAAUUGACGGGGGCCCGCACAAGCGGAGGAACAUGUGGUUUAAUUCGAUGAUACGCGAGGAACCUUACCCGGGCUUGAAUUGCAGAGGAAUAUAGUUGAAAGAUUAUAGCCGCAAGGUCUCUGUGAAGGUGCUGCAUGGUUGUCGUCAGCUCGUGCCGUGAGGUGUCGGCUUAAGUGCCAUAACGAGCGCAACCCUUAUCAUUAGUUACUAACAGGUCAUGCUGAGGACUCUAGUGAGACUGCCGUCGUAAGAUGUGAGGAAGGUGGGGAUGACGUCAAAUCAGCACGGCCCUUACGUCCGGGGCUACACACGUGUUACAAUGGGGGGUACAGAGGGCAGCUACCGGGCGACCGGAUGCCAAUCCCAAAAACCUCUCUCAGUUCGGAUCGAAGUCUGCAACCCGACUUCGUGAAGCUGGAUUCGCUAGUAAUCGCGCAUCAGCCACGGCGCGGUGAAUACGUUCCCGGGCCUUGUACACACCGCCCGUCAAGCCAUGGGAGCCGGGGGUACCUGAAGUACGUAACCGCAAGGAGCGUCCUAGGGUAAAACUGGUGACUGGGGCUAAGUCGUAACAAGGUAACC
rnacentral:rRNA from 1 species